rnacentral:rRNA from 1 species
AAUAUUUUCGCUGAGAAUAGCUGCUCAGCAGUUGUGAUAUCUGAGAGGUUUAGUCUAGUCACUGACUGAGCUAAAUCUUCUCAUCCAUCUGUUAACGCAUGUGGCCUCCGGGUUGGAUGCGAGCUCAGAUAUUUUACCUUGAGAAAAUUAGAGUGUUUCAGGCAGGCUUGGCCGGAAUACAAAAGCAUGGAAUAAUAGAAUUGGCACAGCUCUGUGGUUGCGCAGAGAAGUGUAAUGGUUAAUAGGAACAGUUGGGGGCAUUAGUAUUUAAUUGUCAGAGGUGAAAUUCUUGGAUUUGUUAAAGACUAACUAAAGCGAAAGCAUUU